rnacentral:rRNA from 1 species
AGAGUUUGAUCCUGGCUCAGAUUGAACGCUGGCGGCAGGCCUAACACAUGCAAGUCGAGCGGAUGAAGGGAGCUUGCUCCUGGAUUCAGCGGCGGACGGGUGAGUAAUGCCUAGGAAUCUGCCUGGUAGUGGGGGAUAACGUCCGGAAACGGGCGCUAAUACCGCAUACGUCCUGAGGGAGAAAGUGGGGGAUCUUCGGACCUCACGCUAUCAGAUGAGCCUAGGUCGGAUUAGCUAGUUGGUGGGGUAAAGGCCUACCAAGGCGACGAUCCGUAACUGGUCUGAGAGGAUGAUCAGUCACACUGGAACUGAGACACGGUCCAGACUCCUACGGGAGGCAGCAGUGGGGAAUAUUGGACAAUGGGCGAAAGCCUGAUCCAGCCAUGCCGCGUGUGUGAAGAAGGUCUUCGGAUUGUAAAGCACUUUAAGUUGGGAGGAAGGGCAGUAAGUUAAUACCUUGCUGUUUUGACGUUACCAACAGAAUAAGCACCGGCUAACUUCGUGCCAGCAGCCGCGGUAAUACGAAGGGUGCAAGCGUUAAUCGGAAUUACUGGGCGUAAAGCGCGCGUAGGUGGUUCAGCAAGUUGGAUGUGAAAUCCCCGGGCUCAACCUGGGAACUGCAUCCAAAACUACUGAGCUAGAGUACGGUAGAGGGUGGUGGAAUUUCCUGUGUAGCGGUGAAAUGCGUAGAUAUAGGAAGGAACACCAGUGGCGAAGGCGACCACCUGGACUGAUACUGACACUGAGGUGCGAAAGCGUGGGGGAGCAAACAGGAUUAGAUACCCUGGUAGUCCACGCCGUAAACGAUGUCGACUAGCCGUUGGGAUCCUUGAGAUCUUAGUGGCGCAGCUAACGCGAUAAGUCGACCGCCUGGGGAGUACGGCCGCAAGGUUAAAACUCAAAUGAAUUGACGGGGGCCCGCACAAGCGGUGGAGCAUGUGGUUUAAUUCGAAGCAACGCGAAGAACCUUACCUGGCCUUGACAUGCUGAGAACUUUCCAGAGAUGGAUUGGUGCCUUCGGGAACUCGGACACAGGUGCUGCAUGGCUGUCGUCAGCUCGUGUCGCAAGAUGUUGGGUUAAGUCCCGUAACGAGCGCAACCCUUGUCCUUAGUUACCAGCACCUCGGGUGGGCACUCUAAGGAGACUGCCGGUGACAAACCGGAGGAAGGUGGGGAUGACGUCAAGUCAUCAUGGCCCUUACGGCCAGGGCUACACACGUGCUACAAUGGUCGGUACAAAGGGUUGCCAAGCCGCGAGGUGGAGCUAAUCCCAUAAAACCGAUCGUAGUCCGGAUCGCAGUCUGCAACUCGACUGCGUGAAGUCGGAAUCGCUAGUAAUCGUGAAUCAGAAUGUCACGGUGAAUACGUUCCCGGGCCUUGUACACACCGCCCGUCACACCAUGGGAGUGGGUUGCUCCAGAAGUAGCUAGUCUAACCGCAAGGGGGACGGUUACCACGGAGUGAUUCAUGACUGGGGUGAAGUCGUAACAAGGUAACCAAGGGCGAA